UUGCCUUUAUAUGUAUCAGUAUCUGCCUUAUGAAAUUGAGAAUGAAUUUGAGUGCAUAAAAAUAUUGAGGAAAGUUAGAAUUAUACAGAGAGAGUUUUGAGGAAAAGUUCACAGAGAGCCGGAAGUUUGAUGCCCAGAUGUUACAGUGAUGAUUUAUGUUUCAGUUUUCAGGUACCGAGGAUGCUUGAGGAUUUUUAGUAGCGGGCUUAGGUGGAAAAGAUGGUGUUGAGGAUUAAAUUAUUUUAUUUAGAGAUUUUUAUGUAUUUAUUUGAGGAAAUUAAUUUAGUAUCAAUUUAAUUAAUCUGAGAUAUUGUCUUAUUUAUUUGAGGAAAUUUGAUUGAUUUUGUAUCAAUAAAGGGUAUUUUAUUUCUUUUGA